ensembl:lncRNA
CGCGCAAGAAGGUGGGACGUAAGGGAGACACCAUUUACAACACUUGUAAGGGCGUAAUAACUAGUUUGUGAAAGAACCAGAGAAACACAAAUAUCCGACGAAAAAAAAUCCCGGACGUUUUUAGAAUCCCUGCCGGACGCAUUUUUUAGGUCUCAAAAAGAGGAGGUCCUGUCACCCUAUAUAUCGUCUUCUUCCUUGUUCCAGGUUCCAUUCCCCACAGCAUAAGAACACACUGUGUGUCAAAUUCAGUCAGUUAAUUUCAAGCCAGAGGACUUCACACACUGAAGUGGAGCAGCAGAAAACGCCCAAAUUGAUCACCAAAACCUGCAAGGACUUUAUCCCGAUGUGUUUGAGAGUCGACGCCGACGACCGUCCCACGCUGGAGCAGCUCGAGAUCCACCCAUAGCUCAGAUAAGUCAACGGCGCACACACACGUUCUCACGCAAACGCUCUCACACAGACGGUCUCACGCAGACACACACACGUAGUUGGCAUCACGUAGUCGCGCACACAUAGACGCCAUCGCGUAGACACGCAUGCAUAGACGCCAUCGCGUAGACACGCAUGCGUAGACGCCAUCGUGUAGACCCCCUCACGUAGACACGCACACGUAUACUAUGGCGGCAAAUCACUGUCAAAAUUCGAGAGCGCAAAUCAGCUUGAUGCGCUCGCGUAAAUCAUACAUCCGCGAGCAAAACUUCCGUCUCGCGAAAGAUAUUUGCUCGCUCGCGGAACGUGAACUUCCUUGCGAGGCUAGUCUCUGCUUGCGCUCGAAGGUGUUUUCUACGCGCUCGCUGUUGUUCUUUUUGACAGUAAGGGGGCGGUACGGUGGCCCUGAAGUACAAAACACAACGGCAAAUAGGAAAACACAAUGAAAUGAACUCCUUACGGAAAGGGUAGGGGCUUAAGGCUGGCGCAUGCUUCUGCAUCUGCGUCGUUGUGUCGACGCACUCGUUUCAAUUCAUGGUUCUAAAAAGUCUUGCGUGUGUUGCAGAGCAAUUCACCGCCAGAACAACAUGCGGAGUAACGUGUUUUGUUGAAGACGACCUAGAGAGUCACGUCUUUGUGUGUGGAAUUAUUUAUCAUAGACUUUAUUGCCCCGUGCAUCGCCACUGCUGCUUUUCGUCACGGAAACAUUUGUCCCGUAUUUUCCUCCACAACUUUGUGCACCUCUCGACCGGCAAACCGGCGUUUGCAGCGAUCUCCCUCCGUGAAUCCAACCCGCUUCUACAACCCGCCAAUGACGGCUUGUAUAAGCGCUCAUAUUCACGCAUUUCUUCCGACAAAAGUUCUUCAAUCUGAUCCGUUCUCUCGUAAACACUCUUCGUUUUAAUAAUGGCGGUAUCGGGCUAUGAAAGCGGAAAUGUGAGUCUCCGUAACAGACGUAGUUAGCGGACCAAUCGCAGCCUUGUGCGCUGCGGGAGGCUUGCCCCCCCCGCCCCUUUUAUUUACUUUUAUUUACAACACCUAAAUAUAAUUGAACAACAAAACACCUUUAAAACAACGGUGAAACACUAGUAGGACUAGUAGAUGGCGAUGUUUUACACUCGUAAAACAUCAACAUCUCUCCAUGACUUUCUGCUGCGGCUCUCCUGCUGCACUCACUUCCCCCCCUCAUCACAGGCUCUCAGUCCCGCCACUGAUUUACUGAUUGACAUAAUAUCUAGAAAGCGGCAUUUCUCAGAUUUCAAAAUCCGAUUGUGCAAAUAGUUAAAGGAGUCACGGUAAUUUGAAUCCUCCAUGUCACUUUCCGUCGCCGGCGAAAGGCUUCAGAUUAAGAGUGUUAAAAGACAGACACAGUCCGUCUGUCCAAUCAGAAGGGCCCGUCCUCUGCAUCCUGCUAUAAGGCUGGACAUUCUAGUCAAAGGUGCGCUCACAUUUCGUCACGCGGUGAGACGCCGUAAGAGAGGAAAACGGGCCGGCUCGUUGGUGAGACUCCGCAAGCGUGGUUCUCGCACACCGCUGCCAGGCAUCUUUCUCUCCAACAUGCACUCACUGUGCAACAAACUGGACAAAAUUCAGCUGCUGGUGAGGAGAGACGAAGACUUCUCUACAUCCUCCGUUCUGUCCUUCACGGAGACAUGGCUCUGCGGACCGAUACCGG